CAGUAGCCGCGGGAAUACGAAGGGUGCAAGCGUUAAUCGGAAUUACUGGGCGUAAAGCGCACGCAGGCGGUCUGACAAGUCAGAUGUGAAAUCCCCGGGCUUAACCUGGGAACUGCAUUUGAAACUGUCAGGCUGGAGUCUUGUAGAGGGGGGUGGAAUUCCAGGUGUAGCGGUGAAAUGCGUAGAGAUCUGGAGGAAUACCGGUGGCGAAGGCGGCCCCCUGGACAAAGACUGACGCUCAGGUGCGAAAGCGUGGGGAGCAAACAGGAUUAGAUACCCCGGUAGUCCCUGUCUCUUAUAC
rnacentral:rRNA from 1 species